rnacentral:SRP_RNA from 16 species
GGGCGGUGCGAGCAGAUUGCGCGUGAAGUCGGUCAGGUUAGAAAUAAAGCAGCCGUAGCGUCGUCUUUCUGGGUUGCGCUUCCCACUGUU